rnacentral:rRNA from 1 species
AUUGAACGCUGGCGGCAUGCCUUACACAUGCAAGUCGAGCGAGAACCAGGGCUUCGGCCCUGGGGACAGCGGCGAACGGGUGAGCAACACGUGGAUAACCUGCCCUCGGCACCGGGAUAGCCCGGGGAAACCCGGAUUAAUACCGGAUGGCCCUUCCGGCUUUCGAGCUGGUCGGAAAAGGUAGCUUCGGCCUCCGGCCGAGGAUGGGUCCGCGGCGGAUUAGCUAGUUGGUGAGGUAACGGCUCACCAAGGCGACGAUCCGUAGCUGGUCUGGGAGGACGAUCAGCCACACUGGGACUGAGACACGGCCCAGACUCCGACGGGAGGCAGCAGUGGGGAAUCUUGCGCAAUGGGCGAAAGCCUGACGCAGCGACGCCGCGUGAGGGAGGAAGGCCUUCGGGUUGUAAACCUCUUUUCUGAGAGAAGAAGCUACUCGGGUUAAUAGCCCAGAGGGUGACGGUAUCUCAGGAAUAAGCCCCGGCUAACUACGUGCCAGCCGCCGCCGUAA